rnacentral:rRNA from 1 species
UACGGAGGGUGCAAGCGUUAUCCGGAUUUACUGGGUUUAAAGGGAGCGCAGGCGGAUUGGUAAGUUAGUGGUGAAAUACCCGUGCUUAACAUGGGAACUGCCAUUGAUACUAUCAGUCUUGAAUGUUGUUGAGGUUUGCGGAAUGGGUCAUGUAGCGGUGAAAUGCAUAGAUAUGACCCGGAACACCUAUUGCGAAGGCAGCUCGCUGGGACGUAAACUGACGCUGAGACGCGAAAGCGUGGGGAGCAAACAGG